GACGAACGCUGGCGGCGUGCCUAAUACAUGCAAGUCGAGCGAAGCGGCGGGUGGGUGAGUAACGCGUGAGUAACCUGCCCUUAAGUCUGGGAUACCGUUUAGAAACAGAUGCAACUAACGGAUAAUGAAGGAUGGACCUGCGAUGCAUUAGCUGGUGGGUAAGGUAACGGCUUACCAAGGCGACGAUGCAUAGCCGAGUUGAGAGACUGAUCGGCCACAUUGGGACUGAGACACGGCCCAAACUCCUACGGGAGGCAGCAGUAGGGAAUCUUCCACAAUGGACGAAAGUCUGAUAGAGCAACGCCGCGUGAGUGAAGAAGGUUUUCGGAUCGUAAAGCUCUGUUGUUGGUGAAGCGGUAAUCAACCAGAAAGUCACGGCUAACUACGUGCCAGCAGCCGCGGUAAUAC
rnacentral:rRNA from 1 species